CCUACGGGGGGCAGCAGUGGGGGAUAUUGCACAAUGGAGGAAACUCUGAUGCAGCGACGCCGCGUGCGGGACGAAGGCCCUCGGGCUGUAAACCGCUUUCAGCAGGGAAGACAUCGACGGUACCUGCAGAAGAAGCUCCGGCUAACUACGUGCCAGCAGCCGCGGUAAUACGUAGGGGGCGAGCGUUAUCCGGAUUCAUUGGGCGUAAAGCGCGCGUAGGCGGCCGCCUAAGCGGAACCUCUAACCCCGGGGCUCAACCUCGGGCCGGGUUCCGGACUGGGCGGCUCGAGUGCGGUAAAGGAGAG
rnacentral:rRNA from 1 species